GUGGGAGGGGGCUUGCCCCCGAUGGCGGUGAAUCAGCCGACUCAUCUGUAGCUGGCAUACCGCAAUCGGGGGCAAGCCCCCUCCCAC
rnacentral:misc_RNA from 1 species